CUGCGGGGUUCGGGCAUCAGACUCUCUGAACCCCUAAUGGCAGAGAAAUGGUAGUUCCUCGCGCGAGGGUGCGGCUGAGCCUGAGAUCCACUCAGAGCGGGGGCAGGAGGCAGAACCAAGCGCGGAGGAUAGUUUUACAACCUCGGUUUGAACAUGCAUCAUACAGCUUGUGGAAUGAGUAAAAGUUUUCCUACAGAACUUCCAUCUGAAUUCUUUUUCUCUUGUUGAGUUCUCCUGUGGGCUUGAAGGUGUGACUGAUUGACAAAGGCUUUCCCACAGACAUGGUACUCAAAAGAUUUGUCUUGGGUGCACAUUUUCUGGUAGGCAACAUUUGGAGCCUGACUGAAAUCUUUUCCAUACUGAUUAUACUCAGAACUGUUCCCUAUCCUUUGAACAUUUAUUUGUAGUAAUAAGUAUGAGUGUCAUUAAAGACUUUCCAAACUGAUUGCCAAGUUCCCAACAUGUGACAACUUCCCUGAUAAUAAAGAGAUGAAUAACAAUUAAA